rnacentral:rRNA from 1 species
UACGUAGGGGGCAAGCGUUGUCCGGAAUUAUUGGGCGUAAAGCGCGCGCAGGCGGUUCUUUAAGUCUGGUGUUUAAACCCGAGGCUCAACUUCGGGUCGCACUGGAAACUGGGGGACUUGAGUGCAGAAGAGGAGAGUGGAAUUCCACGUGUAGCGGUGAAAUGCGUAGAUAUGUGGAGGAACACCAGUGGCGAAGGCGACUCUCUGGGCUGUAACUGACGCUGAGGCGCGAAAGCGUGGGGAGCAAACAGG